rnacentral:rRNA from 1 species
UACGUAGGUGGCAAGCGUUGUCCGGAAUCACUGGGCGUAAUGCGCGCGCAGGCGGCGAUCUACGUCUGGGGUGAAAGCCCGGAGCUCAACUCCGGGACUGCCUUGGAUACGGGAUCGCUUGAGGAUUGGAGAGGCAAGGGGAAUUCCACGUGUAGCGGUGAAAUGCGUAGAUAUGUGGAGGAACACCUGUGGCGAAGGCGACCACCUGGACUGAUACUGACACUGAGGUGCGAAAGCGUGGGGAGCAAACAGG